rnacentral:tRNA from 1 species
GCCUGGGUGGCUUAGUCGGUUAAGUGACUGACUUUGGCCUACGUCGUGAUCUCACAAUUUGUGGGUUCGAGCCCCACAUCAGGCU